rnacentral:tRNA from 2 species
GUAAAAUUAGUUUAAUGGUAAAACAGCAUUUUGUGGCAAUGCCAAUAAAAGUUCGAUUCUUUUACUUUACC